UACGAAGGGGGCUAGCGUUGCUCGGAAUUACUGGGCGUAAAGGGAGCGUAGGCGGACAGUUUAGUCAGAGGUGAAAGCCCAGGGCUCAACCCUGGAAUUGCCUUUGAUACUGACUGUCUUGAGUGUGGGAGAGGUGUGUGGAACUCCGAGUGUAGAGGUGGAAUUCGUAGAUAUUCGGAAGAACACCAGUGGCGAAGGCGGCUCACUGGCCCGGGUACUGACGCUGAGGUGCGAAAGCGUGGGGAGCAAACAGG
rnacentral:rRNA from 1 species